GAUGAACGCUAGCUACAGGCUUAUCACAUGCAAGUCGAGGGGUAACGAGAGGAAAGCUUGCUUUCCUUGUCGACGACCGGCGCACGGGUGAGUAACGCGUAUCCAACCUGCCCCCAACUAAGGAAUAACCUUGCGAAAGUAAGACUAAUACCUUAUAAUUUCCUCAGAUGUCAUCUGACGAGGAAUAAAGAUUUAUCGGUUGUGGAUGGGGAUGCGUCUGAUUAGCUUGUUGGCGGGGUAGCGGCCCACCAAGGCAACGAUCAGUAGGGGUUCUGGGAGGAAGGUCCCCCACAUUGGAACUGAGACACGGUCCAAACUCCUACGGGAGGCAGCAGUGAGGAAUAUUGGUCAAUGGGCGGAAGCCUGAACCAGCCAAGUAGCGUGCAGGAUGACGGCCCUAUGGGUUGUAAACUGCUUUUAUACAGGAAUAAAGUUAGCCACGUGUGGUUAUUUGUAGGUACUGUAUGAAUAAGGACCGGCUAAUUCCGUGCCAGCCGCCGCAGUAAGAC
rnacentral:rRNA from 1 species